rnacentral:rRNA from 1 species
GACGAACGCUGGCGGCGCGCUUAACACAUGCAAGUCGAGCGAAGCGGCGGACGGGUGAGUAACACGUGAGUAACCUGCCUUAGACAUUGGGAUAGCCUCGGGAAACCGGGAUUAAUACCAAAUGGUCUAAGAUGAACUCGCGUCCCAUUAGCUAGUUGGUGGGUAACGGCCCACCAAGGCGACGAUGGGUAGACGGCCUGGGCGGGUGAAUGGCCACAUUGGAACUGAGACACGUGCCAAACGCUACGGGGGGCAGCAGUGGGGAAUAUUGCACCAUUGAGGGAACUCUGAUGCAGCGACGCCGCGGGAACGAAGAAGGCUUUCGAGUCGGAAAGUUCUUUUAUAUGGGAAGCGGUACCAUAAGAAAAAGCCCCGGCUAACUACGUGCCAGCAGCCGCGGUAAUAC